ACAUGAUUACAGGUGAUGCAUGGCUGUCGUCAGCUCGGGUCGUGAGAUGCUGGGUUAAGUCCCGCAACGAGCGCAACCCCUAUCCUUAGUUGCCAGCACAUUAUGGUGGGGACUCUAAGGAGACUGCCUGGGAUAACUAGGAGGAAGGUGGGGAUGGUGUCAAGUCAGUAUGUCCCUUAUGUCCAGGGCUACACACGUGUUACAAUGGUUGGUACAAUGGGCUGCUAAACCGCGAGGUGGAGCCAAUCCCAAAAACCAACCCCAGUUCGGAUUGGAGUGUGCAACUCGACUCCAUGAAGCAGGAAUCGCUAGUAAUCGUGGAUCAGUACGCCACGGUGAAUACGUUCCCGGGUCUUGUACACACCGCCCGUCACGCCAUGGAAGUCAGUAGUACCCGAAUCGGGUGGCCUAACCUUCGGGAGGGAGCUCGUUAAGGUAUGAC
rnacentral:rRNA from 1 species